UAGUCCAUGCUGUAAACGAUGAGUGCUAAACGUUGUUCCUAUAAGGAUCAGUGUUUGAGCUAACGCAUUAAGCACUCCGCCUGAGUAGUACGGUCGCAAGAUUAAAACUCAAAGGAAUUGACGGGGACCCGCACAAGCGGUGGAGCAUGUGGUUUAAUUCGAAGAUACGCGAAAAACCUUACCAGGACUUGACAUUAUAGUGAAGGUUGUAAGAGAUUACAAUUGCAUUUAGUUGGACUAUAACAGGUGCUGCAUGGCUGUCGUCAGCUCGUGUCGUGAGAUGUUGGGUUAAGUCCCGCAACGAGCGCAACCCUCAUUUUUAGUUGCUAACAGGUUAAGCUGAGAACUCUAGAAAAACUGCUGGUUAGAAGCCAGAGGAAGGUGGGGAUGACGUCAAGUCCUCAUGGCCCUUACGUCCUGGGCUACCCACGUGCUACAAUGGAAGAUACAAAGAGUCGCAAAGCCGCGAGGUGGAGCCAAUCUCAAAAAGUCUUCCUCAGUUCGGAUUGUU
rnacentral:rRNA from 1 species